GCUGCUGCUACUACGGUGGCGGCGGCGGCGGCGGCGGCGGCGGCGGCGGCAGCGGCAGC
rnacentral:miRNA from 1 species